rnacentral:rRNA from 1 species
CCUACGGGAGGCAGCAGUGAGGAAUAUUGGUCAAUGGCCGGAAGGCUGAACCAGCCAUGCCGCGUGAAGGUCAGUGCCCUAUGGGCGUUAAACUUCUUUUGUGCGGGAGCAAUAAUGGUCACGUGUGGCCAGACGAGAGUACCGUACGAAUAAGCAUCGGCUAACUCCGUGCCAGCAGCCGCGGUAAUACGGGGGAUGCAAGCGUUAUCCGGAUUUAUUGGGUUUAAAGGGUGCGUAGGCUGUGAGGUAAGUCAGCGGUGAAAUGCCCCCGCUCAACGGGGUGAAGUGCCAUUGAUACUGCCUGGCUGGAAGGCGGAUGCCGUGGGAGGAAUGUGGGGUGUAGCGGUGAAAUGCAUAGAUAUCACACAGAACACCGAUUGCGAAGGCAUCUCACGAAUCCGCGAUUGACGCUGAUGCACGAAAGCGUGGGUAUCAAACAGGAUUAGAUACCCCAGUAGUC